rnacentral:piRNA from 2 species
UUCCUUUUCCAGGCUCCUGUGGGCCUUCAA